rnacentral:rRNA from 1 species
AUUGAACGCUGGCGGCAGGCCUAACACAUGCAAGUCGAACGGUAACAGGAAACAGCUUGCUGUUUCGCUGACGAGUGGCGGACGGGUGAGUAAUGUCUGGGAAACUGCCUGAUGGAGGGGGAUAACUACUGGAAACGGUAGCUAAUACCGCAUAACGUCGCAAGACCAAAGAGGGGGACCCUCGGGCCUCUUGCCAUCGGAUGUGCCCAGAUGGGAUUAGCUUGUUGGUGGGGUAACGGCUCACCAAGGCGACGAUCCCUAGCUGGUCUGAGAGGAUGACCAGCCACACUGGAACUGAGACACGGUCCAGACUCCUACGGGAGGCAGCAGUGGGGAAUAUUGCACAAUGGGCGCAAGCCUGAUGCAGCCAUGCCGCGUGUAUGAAGAAGGCCUUCGGGUUGUAAAGUACUUUCAGCGGGGAGGAAGGGAGUAAAGUUAAUACCUUUGCUCAUUGACGUUACCCGCAGAAGAAGCACCGGCUAACUCCGUGCCAGCAGCCGCGGUAAUACGGAGGGUGCAAGCGUUAAUCGGAAUUACUGGGCGUAAGGCGCACGCAGGCGGUUUGUUAAGUCAGAUGUGAAAUCCCCGGGCUCAACCUGGGAACUGCAUCUGAUACUGGCAAGCUUGAGUCUCGUAGAGGGGGGUAGAAUUCCAGGUGUAGCGGUGAAAUGCGUAGAGAUCUGGAGGAAUACCGGUGGCGAAGGCGGCCCCCUGGACGAAGACUGACGCUCAGGUGCGAAAGCGUGGGGAGCAAACAGGAUUAGAUACCCUGGUAGUCCACGCCGUAAACGAUGUCGACUUGGAGGUUGUGCCCUUGAGGCGUGGCUUCCGGAGCUAACGCGUUAAGUCGACCGCCUGGGGAGUACGGCCGCAAGGUUAAAACUCAAAUGAAUUGACGGGGGCCCGCACAAGCGGUGGAGCAUGUGGUUUAAUUCGAUGCAACGCGAAGAACCUUACCUGGUCUUGACAUCCACGGAAGUCUUCAGAGAUGAGAAUGUGCCUUCGGGAACCGUGAGACAGGUGCUGCAUGGCUGUCGUCAGCUCGUGUUGUGAAAUGUUGGGUUAAGUCCCGCAACGAGCGCAACCCUUAUCCUUUGUUGCCAGCGGUCCGGCCGGGAACUCAAAGGAGACUGCCAGUGAUAAACUGGAGGAAGGUGGGGAUGACGUCAGGUCAUCAUGGCCCUUACGACCAGGGCUACACACGUGCUACAAUGGCGCAUACAAAGAGAAGCGACCUCGCGAGAGCAAGCGGACCUCAUAAAGUGCGUCGUAGUCCGGAUUGGAGUCUGCAACUCGACUCCAUGAAGUCGGAAUCGCUAGUAAUCGUGGAUCAGAAUGCCACGGUGAAUACGUUCCCGGGCCU